AUUGAACGCUGGCGGCAGGCCUAACACAUGCACGUAGAGCGAGCGGCGGACGGGUGAGUAAUGUAUGGGGACUGCCCGAUAGAGGGGGAUAACUACUGGAAACGGUAGCUAAUACCGCAUACUAUCGGAUCACCCAUAGGGGAUUAGCAAGUAGGUGAGGUAAUGGCUCACCUAGGCGACGAUCCCGAGCUGGUCUGAGAGGAUGAACAGCCAAACGGGGACUGAGACACGGCCCAGACGCCUACGGAGGGAGCAGUGGGGAAUAGUGCACAAUGGUCGCAAGCCUGAUGCAGCCAUGCCGCGUGUAUGAAGAAGGCCCUAGGGUUGUAAAGUACUUGCAGUCGGGAGGCGUUACCGACAGAAGAAGCACCGGCUAACUCCGUGCCAGCAGCCGCGGUAAUAC
rnacentral:rRNA from 1 species